rnacentral:rRNA from 1 species
AUUGAACGCUGGCGGCAGGCCUAACACAUGCAAGUCGAGCGAGCGGCGGACGGGUGAGUAAUGUAUGGGGACUGCCCGAUAGAGGGGGAUAACUACUGGAAACGGUGGCUAAUACCGCAUACUAUCGGAUAACCCAUAUGGGAUUAGCUAGUAGGUGGGGUAAAGGCUCACCUAGGCGACGAUCUAUAGCUGGGCUGAGAGGAUGAUAAGCCACACUUGGCCUCAGUCUCGGCCCAGACGCCUACGGAGGCAGCCGUGGGGAAUAUUGACCAAUUGUCGCAAGCCUGUCGCAGCCAUGCCGCGUGUAUGAAGAAGGCCGUAGGGUUGUAAAGUACUUUCAGCGGGGAGGCGUUACCCGCAGAAGAAGCACCGGCUAACUCCGUGCCAGCAGCCGCGGUAAUUC